ACGUAGAACCAUGCGGUCUGCAGGGUCCUCAGAGGAUUCCUAUUAGUGUUUUCAGCUGAGAUGAGCACUCCGGCCUUGUAAACUGGAUUUUGCUAGUCAUUUAGGAGUUACAUGCCUGCCAAGGAGGUGCUGGAGGAGCGUAGCUUGCUGUGCUGCUCUUGUGAGUGUGAACUACACUUCUCAGGAUAAGAUUACUAAAUGCUGAACUGGAAGGAGAUACAUACAAUCACAUCCUCCAAGCUGACAUAAGCUGGCUCCAGCACACCACUGAAGGAGAUUCAUUCUCGUACAUAACACCAGCGCAAGGUCCUGCAGUGCCCUUUCAACAACUCCUCCCCAGCCUCCAGCACUGCUGCCGGCUGCGUUCACACCAUUUCUGAUGACACUGAAGGCAGCCCCCCGCGCAGGAGCUACAUAGAGAUAUGACAUAUCCUUGUGUGCACCGUAAUUUAAAAGGAUGAGAAUACACAGAAAUCUGUGGGGAAAUAUUAAGAAUAUUGUACACAAUUAAUAUUUAUGUAUAUUAUGAGACGGCGGCAUCUACAGGAAGGUAGAUGUUACCUGGGAAGGGUUGUUAAUCCCACUUUGUCUUCAUUUUUGGUAUAUUGGCUUCUAUAGAUAAGAUAUGUGGCAAGCCUCCUAUAGUGAAAUAUUGCUGCUAAACCUAUGAGAGCAGAAAUUUUGUUUUUCCUUUCUCUCUUCUUUCUCACCCCAGAAUAGUCUCUUCUGCUUCGGUACAGACAAAUCUCACAGAAUCACAGCGUUUAUGGUCUGGAAGCAGUCUCUUUGCUCAUCAUUCUUUUUCUGAUACAGAUUUCCCUCCUAGAACAAUGUUUCUUUUCCUUAAAAUACAUCCUUUAGAUAUUCCUUGAGUAUACAUCUGUUGUUGGUAAACUCCAACUUUGUUUGUCUAAAAAUGUUUUUGUUUCAUUUUCAUUUUGGAAAGAUCAUUUUCCUGGGUAUAUAUGUGUAGAUGGUUAUUUUUCCUCAGAAUUCUGAAAAUAUAAUUUCACUGUAUUUGAAUUUUGUAUUGCUGCAAGGAAUCUGAUGUGAGUCCAAUUGUUUUUUCUUUGGAGAUAAUCUUUUCUAAAACACUGUUUUUUUAUGAUUUUAUUUAUCUUCCUUAUCCUAUAAUUUUAUUUACAGAUAGAGAUUUCUUUUCUGUUUCAUAUUUGUUGUGGUUCUUAUCUCUGAGAAUUUGUGAUUAUUAUCAUUUCUGAAAAGAUUUUGUUAUCUUUCAGAUAUUAUUCUUCCCACUUUCUCUGGUCUUUUCUUCUGGAAUUUUGAUUAGAUAUUUUCUCUUUCAACUGUCCAUAUUCUAUUACACUUUCGUCUUUCUCCUUAAAUAGUAAUUGCUUCAGUAUACAGUAUGUAAGAAGCAGUUUCCUUAGAGUUAUUCUUCAGUUCACUAAGUCUCACUAUAAGUCUCCCUUUAACUCUGCCCAUUCUGUUAUUCAGUCCAUCUACUGAUUUUUAAUUUUAAAAGUUAUGUGAAAUUUUUAUUCAUAGACAUAUUUUUGUUUGAUUUAUCUCAAAAUGUGUUUAUUUUGUUCCUUGAUAUAUUGUUCCUUGAUCAUAUUUUCAAUUUCCUCUUUUACUUCUUUACAUGCCAAUUGUAUAUUCUUUUUCUGGCAAUUCCUUCCUGAAGUCCAUGGAAACCAACAUCUUUUGUUUGUAGUUUUGUUGAAUCUUACUCAUUUAAAUUUGUUUCUCAAAGUUUUGUCAUUUUGGUUUCUCAACUCCAAUUCGUUUCAGUAAUACCUGUGUGAAUUCUGCAAAGUUCACUUCAAAGAUGAUUCUUUACAGGAAUAAUUUGCUCUUCUUUCUGCCAGGGACUUUUUCCAUGAUCACUGUAAGUUCAUUUGGGACUGAGGCUUCCUAAGUCACCUUCAUAGUAUAGAAAUUCAUGUAAACACAGAAUUCUCCAGACAGACUUCUUUCCUCACAAGAGCUUACAUCCAGAUUAACAGGCUUCUCCUCUUUCCAGCAGAGUAAUGUUUUCUACCCACCCUUUCACUGAAGUUAAACUCCCUUUAAAGCUCUUGACUCUAUAUAGGAGUCCCAAUUUCAACUCGUGUGUUACAUAGCCCCAGGGUCUGUCUCAUGUCCUCAUAUGCAGCCUUUAAAUCACACUGAGUCACAGGGACCAGCAAAGACCUGGAGAACAGCCCCAGCUUCAGUAUCAGUCUAUUAUACUUGAUUCCCAUUCCUUCCUAGUUUGUGGUCCCUAAGGAUAUCUCUUACUUUGUUGUAAAUGUGGCCAAACCUUUAAAAGUCUUUGUUAUAUUUUGUUCUGUGCUUCUAAGUGUUUUGAAACAGGAUAUUUAGUUCUUAAUAAUUCCCUGGUAGGAGUUGCUGGGUUAACUUAGGUUAGUCUGUUCUUUAUCACAACACAACUCUUAUUUCAAAUGGCUUGUUAAAUUAGUA
ensembl:lncRNA